UACGUAGGUGGCAAGCGUUGUCCGGAAUUAUUGGGCGUAAAGAGCGUGUAGGCGGCCAUACAGGUCAGCUGUGAAAACUCGAGGCUCAACCUCGAGACGUCGGUUGAAACCGUAUGGCUAGAGUCCGGAAGAGGAGAGUGGAAUUCCCGGUGUAGCGGUGAAAUGCGCAGAUAUCGGGAAGAACACCCGUGGCGAAGGCGGCUCUCUGGGCCGAUACUGACGCUGAGGAGCGAAAGCGUGGGGAGCGAACAGG
rnacentral:rRNA from 1 species